rnacentral:tRNA from 1 species
GGGCGGUUAGCUCAGUUAGUUAGAGCGCCACGUUGGCAUCGUGGAGGUCACAAGUUCGAGUCUUGUACCGCCCA